UCCUGGCUCAGAUUGAACGCUAGCGGGAUGCCUUACACAUGCAAGUCGAACGGCAGCGGGAAAGUAGCUUGCUACUUUUGCCGGCGAGUGGCGAACGGGUGAGUAAUGUAUCGGAACGUGCCCAGUAGCGGGGGAUAACUACGCGAAAGCGUGGCUAAUACCGCAUACGNNCUACGGGGGAAAGGGGGGGAUCUUAGGACCUCUCACUAUUGGAGCGGCCGAUAUCGGAUUAGCUAGUUGGUGGGGUAAAGGCCUACCAAGGCGACGAUCCGUAGCUGGUUUGAGAGGACGACCAGCCACACUGGGACUGAGACACGGCCCACACUNCUACGGGAGGCAGCAGUGGGGAAUUUUGGACAAUGGGGGAAACCCUGAUCCAGCCAUCCCGCGUGUGCGAUGAAGGCUUCGGGUUGUAAAGCACUUUUGUCAGGGAAGAAAAGGUUUCGGAUAAUACCUGGAACUGAUGACGGUACCUGAAGAAUAAGCACCGGCUAACUACGUGCCAGCAGCCGCGGUAAUACGUAGGGUGCAAGCGUUAAUCGGAAUUACUGGGCGUAAAGCGUGCGCAGGCGGUUCGGAAAGAAAGAUGUGAAAUCCCAGGGCUCAACCUUGGAACUGCAUUUUUAACUACCNAACUAGAGUAUGUCAGAGGGGGGUGGAAUUCCNCGUGUAGCAGUGAAAUGCGUAGAUAUGUGGAGGAACACCGAUGGCGAAGGCAGCCCCUGGGAUAAUACUGACGCUCAUGCACGAAAGCGUGGGGAGCAAACAGGAUUAGAUACCCUGGUAGUCCACGCCCUAAACGAUGUCAACUAGCUGUUGGCUUCGGGGCUUAGUAGCGC
rnacentral:rRNA from 1 species